GGCCAGACUCCUACGGGAGGCAGCAGUCGGGAAUAUUGCGCAAUGGAGGAAACUCUGACGCAGUGACGCCGCGUAUAGGAAGAAGGUUUUCGGAUUGUAAACUAUUGUCCACAGGGAAGAAAAAAGACUGUACCUGUGAAGAAAGCUCCGGCUAACUACGUGCCAGCAGCCGCGGUAAUACGUAGGGAGCAAGCGUUAUCCGGAAUUACUGGGUGUAAAGGGAGCGUAGGCGGGAUGGCAAGUAGAAUGUUAAAUCCAUCGGCUCAACCGGUGGCUGCGUUCUAAACUGCCGUUCUUGAGUGAAGUAGAGGCAGGCGGAAUUCCUAGUGUAGCGGUGAAAUGCGUAGAUAUUAGGAGGAACACCAGUGGCGAAGGCGGCCUGCUGGGCUUUAACUGACGCUGAGGCUCGAAAGCGUGGGGAGCAAACAGGAUUAGAUACCCUAGUACAC
rnacentral:rRNA from 1 species